rnacentral:rRNA from 1 species
AGAUUAAGUUAUUAAGGGCGCACGGUGGAUGCCUUGGCACUAGAAGCCGAUGAAGGACGUUACUAACGACGAUAUGCUUUGGGGAGCUGUAAGUAAGCUUUGAUCCAGAGAUUUCCGAAUGGGGAAACCCAGCAUGAGUUAUGUCAUGUUAUCGAUAUGUGAAUACAUAGCAUAUCAGAAGGCACACCCGGAGAACUGAAACAUCUUAGUACC